rnacentral:rRNA from 1 species
AGAAUCAACGCUGGCGGCGUGCCUAACACAUGCAAGUCGAACGAGAAAGUGGAGCAAUCCAUGAGUAAAGUGGCGCACGGGUGAGUAACACGUGACUAACCUACCCUUGAGUGGGGGAUAAACCUAGAGAAAUCUGGGCUAAUACCGCAUAAUACCUUCGGGUCAAAGGAGCAAUUCGCUUAAGGAGGGGGUCGCGGCCGAUUAGUUAGUUGGCGGGGUAAUGGCCCACCAAGACUAUGAUCGGUAUCCGGCCUGAGAGGGCGCACGGACACACUGGAACUGAAACACGGUCCAGACUCCUACGGGAGGCAGCAGUGGGAAUUUUGCGCAAUGGGGAAACCCUGACGCAGCAACGCCGCGUGGAGGAUGAAGUCCCUUGGGACGUAAACUCCUUUACGAUCGGGACGAUAAUGACGGUACCGAGAGAAGAAGCCCCGCUAACUUCGCGCCAGCAGCCGC